UAUGCGACUGAUAGGGCGGUUGCGUUGGGAGCACAGAGGGAGUGAAUGGAUGAAUAUGUGAGAUCCAAGAAAGAGACAGUGAGAUAUCGGAUUGUUAAUUGGGAGGAUCAUUUCACAGUGUGUCGAUCUAGAAGGAGGAUCUCACUAUGGCUCUCUUUUUUCUCUCUUUUUCAACCCUCUUUCUCCCUCUCUCUUCAGCUGACAGCACUGAAAAUUGUUACUAAGAUGGAAACAGCAUUCUGCAGUAGUACAGUAGAGGACCAAUUACAAGGCCGCAUUGUGCAUUUUCAACAGAGGGGGAUUUAGAUUUCCAAUUAGCAUGUUCCAUUCAAGUCUCAUUUUGCAUCUUGACAACAGGUUCAGAGGUUUUGUAUAAGUCUACAGCAAACCUGGUGGAACUCCUGCUGGUGCUGCACUGCUCCGAAAUCACCACCGAUGGGCAGCUGCUCAGACAACUCCUCAUCUUUUGCUGUCAGCCAUUCAAUGAUGUCCUGCAGGGACAGCUGGAGCUUCCCGCUGUUGUCUGAAAAGGCUUCCAGCCGUACCCUGCCAACACAGCAAACGACAGCCCCCAACAGGGCAGGAACAUACGGUUAAAGACAGCAUGCCCCUGAGAUCACAGUUCUGAAGAACACUCCACAUGAGCUUAUAGUUACCCUGCCACCAAAAAUGCAUUUUUGAUAUAUCAGGACAUCAGGAAUCGGGACAUGGCAGAGGCUGGAUUCAAACAUAUGACCAUCAUGGCUCUAUGUGCACCACAGUUUACAGGGGCUCUAGGUUUGGCGGAUUAACUUGGGCUGAUGACUUAAUUACACUAUUAUGUAGGCAAAAACCAUCUUUCUUCAUUGAUGGCCAUUUAAAAAAGUAACCCUGUAUAGUAAUUAUAUAUAAUUUUUUGCAAGCAUUCCCUGCUGAAAAAAAUAAAUAAAUAAAUUUAGAAGGGUUU